AUUGAACGCUGGCGGCAUGCCUUACACAUGCAAGUCGAACGGUAACGGGCUUUGGGGUGCCGCCGAGUGGCGGACGGGUGAGUAAUACAUCGGAACGUGCCCGAUCGUGGGGGAUAACGAGGCGAAAGCUUUGCUAAUACCGCAUACGAUCUACGGAUGAAAGCAGGGGACCGCAAGGCCUUGCGCGGACGGAGCGGCCGAUGGCAGAUUAGGUAGUUGGUGGGAUAAAAGCUUACCAAGCCGACGAUCUGUAGCUGGUCUGAGAGGAUGAUCAGCCACACUGGGACUGAGACACGGCCCAGACUCCUACGGGAGGCAGCAGUGGGGAAUUUUGGACAAUGGGCGCAAGCCUGAUCCAGCCAUGCCGCGUGCAGGAUGAAGGCCUUCGGGUUGUAAACUGCUUUUGUACGGAACGAAAAGCCUUCUUUUAAUACAGGAGGGUCAUGACGGUACCGUAAGAAUAAGCACCGGCUAACUACGUG
rnacentral:rRNA from 1 species